CCUGGAAUAAACACAAGUUUUCUUCAUUUACCGUUAUGUUUAUUCAUUCUCCAGAUUAAAAUGAAAAUUUCUCGAGAGGGAAACAAAUAAAAUGUAAUUUAUUCUUAUGUUUGUCCUAUCUCAAUCUCACCUAGCCAUGAAACUACUUCACCAAUAGAAGGUCUUCUUCUAGGAUCCUGGUGUAAACAUUUGCAAGCUAUACCAAGCACCUCCAUAAGUUGUCUUUCAGAAUCUCUAUCUUGUAUUGAUGAAUCGAAUAUAUCCUCCUCCCUCUUCUCAGACUUCUUUUGAAACACCNACAAAA
rnacentral:lncRNA from 1 species